rnacentral:piRNA from 1 species
UAAAGAAAAAUUUCCAAAUUC